UCCCUAGCAACCGAUCCCAGCAGGGCGUGGCGUGCCAGUAGGCGGGGUUUGUGGUCCUACUCAGCUGGAGCUGCCGAGUGAGCCAGAUACAACGUAGGCGGGCCCCGUGGGUACCAUUUCAGCCACAUGAUAAGAAUAGCAUACUCACCUCCCUGCCCUCAAAUAUUGGGAGGUUUCUUCAGGGUCCAUGCCUUCUGGUAAGCCACCUCAAAACUUGGACUCAUCUGUCUACUGUUGGUCGUCUUCACCAAGAAGGAUGGAGUUGCAGAAUACUUCUGCUGCCAGUAAGCUCCAAUUGAGGGACCCAUGAUCUCCCCACCUCUCUCAAACUCCUUGUAAACCUGAAAAUAAAGAGAACUACCAAAGUA